CAGUCGUACCUAUGGGUAAUCAGCCUUUUGGGUGUGAUUUUGUGGAGCGUGAGGAGCUUAACACCUUCAUGCUUUGCAUAUUCGUGCUCUUGGGUGUACUUGCUCGUAUGGUUGGUUAACAUCAAUUUUGGUGGUCAUAAAAUGACUGGAGGAAUGUAGCUUCGAUCUCGUAUUGAAGUGUUAUAGCCUUCGGUAGAUGUGAUGACUGAGAUUGAGGAUUGCAACGGAUACCCUUCGGGGCUACCUGUCUGAUCUCUGAUCGUUGCUCUGGUGCCGAAAGCUUGCUUACGGUUAUCAAAGUCGAUGGUCAAUAGGUUAGAACGGGUUAAA
rnacentral:rRNA from 1 species